rnacentral:rRNA from 1 species
GACGAACGCUGGCGGCGUGCUUAACACAUGCAAGUCGAACGGAAAGGCCCUGCUUUUGUGGGGUGCUCGAGUGGCGAACGGGUGAGUAACACGUGAGUAACCUGCCCUUGACUUUGGGAUAACUUCAGGAAACUGGGGCUAAUACCGUAUAGGAGCUCCUGCUGCAUGGAGGGGGUUGGAAAGUUUCGGCGGUUGGGGAUGGACUCGCGGCUUAUCAGCUUGUUGGUGGGGUAGUGGCUUACCAAGGCUUUGACGGGUAGCCGGCCUGAGAGGGUGACCGGCCACAUUGGGACUGAGAUACGGCCCAGACUCCUACGGGAGGCAGCAGUGGGGAAUAUUGCACAGUGGGCGGAAGCCUGAUGCAGCAACGCCGCGUGCGGGAUGACGGCCUUCGGGUUGUAAACCGCUUUCGCCUGUGACGAAGCGUGAGUGACGGUAAUGGGUGAAGAAGCACCGGCUAACUACGUG